UUUGUUUCCUUGUGGAUGAUUGUUAUUUCAGUUUCCUCUCCAGCAAAUUUUCUGGAUGGAAUUACUCCCCUUGAGUUAUGUCCUUAUUGGUUUGAUUCUUGAUUGACCAUUUUCUUUCUAGCUCUUAUCAAGACAGAUAUUUUGGUCCCCUAAGAGUCUAUUACACAGUAACUGGUAAUAUUCUUCUUAGUUUGCAGUUUGUUACUUCUUGCCCAAUACCCGACAAAAG
rnacentral:lncRNA from 1 species